CGUAUGGCGACCGGCGCACGGGUGAGUAACGCGUAUGCAACCUGCCCGAUACCGGGGGAUAGCCCAUGGAAACGUGGAUUAACACCCCAUAGUACUUUUAUCCUGCAUGGGAUGUGAGUUAAAUGUUUAAGGUAUCGGAUGGGCAUGCGUCCUAUUAGUUAGUUGGCGGGGUAACAGCCCACCAAGACGAUGAUAGGUAGGGGUUCUGAGAGGAAGGUCCCCCACAUUGGAACUGAGACACGGUCCAA
rnacentral:rRNA from 1 species